CAGUAGCCGCGGUAAGACAGUGGAUGCAAGCGUUAUCCGGAAUGAUUGGGCGUAAAGCGUCUGUAGGUGGCUUUUCAAGUCCGCCGUCAAAUCCCAGGGCUCAACCCUGGACAGGCGGCGGAAACUACCAAGCUGGAGUACGGUAGGGGCGGAGGGAAUUUCCAGUGGAGCGGUGAAAUGCGUUGAGAUCGAAAAGAACACCAACGGCGAAAGCACUCUGCUGGGCCGACACUGACACUGAGAGACGAAAGCUAGGGGAGCAAAUGGGAUUAGAUACCCGUGUAGUCCCUGUCUCUUAUAA
rnacentral:rRNA from 1 species